rnacentral:lncRNA from 1 species
GAGGCUAAAAUGUUUGAGGCUUGUGUACUUAGAUAUCAGUGGGCGUUAAACAACACGAGAUGGACGAAAUUUCCGGAGCCCUCCACUACGGCGUCCCUCAUGAUCAUAUUGCGGUUUUGGGAAGUGAAACCUCAGGUAUUAUUAUUAA